ACAGGGAACAAGCAGAGCAUG
rnacentral:miRNA from 1 species